AUUGAACGCUGGCGGCAGGCCUAACACAUGCAAGUCUGGCGAGCGGCGGACGGGUGAGUAAUGUAUGGGGAUCUGCCUGAUGGCGGGGGAUAACUACUGGAAACGGUAGCUUAUACCGCAUACCAUCAGAUGAACCCAUAUCGGAUUAGCUUGUAGGUGAGGUAACGGCUCACCUAGGCGACUAUCCCUAGCUGGUCUGAGAGGAUGACCAGCCACACUGGAACUGAGAGACGGUCCAGAUUCCUACGGGAGGCAGCAGGGGGGAAUAUUGCACAAUGGGCGCAAGACUGAUGCAGCCAGGCCGCGUGUGUGAAGAAGGCCUUCGGGUUGUAAAGCACUUUCAGCGAGGAGGCGUUACUCGCAGAAGAAGCAACGGCUAACUCCGUGCCAGCCGCCGCGGUAAUUC
rnacentral:rRNA from 1 species